rnacentral:rRNA from 1 species
UACGAAGGGGGCUAGCGUUGCUCGGAAUUACUGGGCGUAAAGCGCACGUAGGCGGCUUUCUAAGUCGGAGGUGAAAUCCUGGAGCUCAACUCCAGAACUGCCUUCGAUACUGGAGAGCUCGAGUCCGGGAGAGGUGAGUGGAACUGCGAGUGUAGAGGUGAAAUUCGUAGAUAUUCGGAAGAACACCAGUGGCGAAGGCGGCUCACUGGUCCGGUACUGACGCUGAGGUGCGAAAGCGUGGGGAGCAAACAGG